rnacentral:rRNA from 1 species
UACGAAGGGGGGCUAGCGUUGUUCGGAAUUACUGGGCGUAAAGCGCACGUAGGCGGACAUUUAAGUCAGGGGUGAAAUCCCAGAGCUCAACUCUGGAACUGCCUUUGAUACUGGGUGUCUUGAGUAUGGAAGAGGUGAGUGGAAUUCCGAGUGUAGAGGUGAAAUUCGUAGAUAUUCGGAGGAACACCAGUGGCGAAAGGCGGCUCACUGGUCCAUUACUGACGCUGAGGUGCGAAAGCGUGGGGAGCAAACAGG